GCCAGGUACAGAAAGAAACAGCAAGGAAGGAGUAAAAAAAAUCAACAGUCUGCAAUUUUGCGUUACUGGGGGUUUGCAGAAGAAUGCAACCAUCCCGUUAUGGAAGAGCUACCUGUACAGAAUUACAAAGAAAGGCGAGUAGGAUACCAAGUUUCAUUACAAGAGCUUUACAAUACAAAAGUUCUUAUUUCAAAGUGCCUGAGCCAUUCAAAGGAAGAGAAAAUUCAACCCCUCGUGACAUCCACAUCGGGAUGACGCCUGGAUUAGGGCAAAGUUAUAAAUUUAGAUUAUAUUCUUGUGAGGUAUGGAACUAAUGAAUGAAUGUGAUUGGGUCGAUAGAUGUUUACUUACCAUCUUGUAGAAAUUUAUAAGAAAAAGACAUCAUCCGAGAUAGCAAGAGGCGGUUUAGAGGAGAUUCCAGAAAAGCUUUGUCCAUGAAGGAUAUCAGAAUAUGAAACAAUUGCCU